CUAUUUUAUCAAGCCAAAAAUACAAGGAUCUUCUUCCAUAGUUAUAACUCCCAAAGUUAUAUUAGAGAAUUUUAAACCUUAGACCUCGAUUAGGAUAUGGUUUGUGUCAAUUUCUGUUUCACUUUCCCUUGGUCACCUAACCAGAUGACAUCUUGAACAGUCCAAAAGAGACUGCACUACUUGCAAGCUGGUGUCUCACAUCCAAUACACAUGAACGAACUAAGGAUGGUUGUUAAGAAAUAAACUUUCUUGCUCCAUAUCGGAGCAUGGUUGAAGGUGCCAACUUUUGUAUUUGAAAGAAGUUUUGGGGAUCGGUAGCAAAGACUUGGCUCUGAGUCCAAGCCUUCCUCGUAUUUUGGGCCGAAUUUCUCUUGUUUAGUCCCAAGGAAAAAAGAAGUUCCUUUGAUUGCCAGGACUCAUGAAACACUAGAAAAGAAAUAAAGCAAAGGCCUACCAUGCAUGUUCUCCAAAUGUUUCCCUUCAUAUAUUGUAGAAGUAUGUGCUAUAUAAAAUAGUUGAUGGAAUCAUUUUAACGUUUAAUUAAUACUAAAGUACGCAUACAAGUUUUAGCUCAACAAGGCGAUUUUCUGAUUUACAACAUUAUUUUCUGACUAGCAUAUAUCCCGCACCAUGUACAAAGUAUGGUUUUUACUCCUUUUCUCAACUACUAUUAAAGAACAAUAAAAUAAUAUAAACAUUAUAAUAAAUAGAAAGCAUGAAUAACUAUUGUAGAAUAAGUAAUGAAAUUUAAUGAUGGCUAAGUAGAAACUUCCAUCAUUAAUGCUGACAUCUACACAAAAUUCUCUACACAAGUUGAGUGUUCAUGAACAAGCUCUUAUCAUUAACAUCGGCAUCAUGAAUAACAGUCUUUCGCAAUGCAUAAAAUACAGUUUUUUUCAUGUUUUUCUAUUUGUUCGUAAAAUAUAAUAUAACAAUGUAACAAAAUAUAGUAAAUAAAAGAUUUCGAUAACCAAAUUUUUAUUAUACAUUAAACAAUAAACUUUAAUGGUGACCAAGUAGAAACUCUAAUCAUUAAUGCCAGUACCCCCAUGGUAAAUGAAAAACUCUACAUAAGAACCUUUUUCAAAAACUUCUAAUAUUAGUACGUGCAUCAAUAAUACUGUUAUGUAAUACGCAAGGUUUGAUUUUUUUCUCUCCUUUUCUGACCAUUCUUAAAAUGUAAUAUAACAAGUUAACAAAUUAUAAUAAUUAGAAAGCUUCAACAGCCAAAUUUUUGCUACACAUGAAGCAACAAGCUUUAAAUAUUAUCGAACACAUUCAUACUGACGCGUUAGUUUUUAUUGCACAUUAAGCAUAUAAUUUUAGUGAUGAAUUAGCAUUACUAAUAGUGAUGUCCAUAUGACGUAUGGAGAUCUCUACACGAAC
rnacentral:lncRNA from 1 species